AUUCGAGACCGGCACUACACGUUACGCCUCUUUUUCGCUAUUCUUCGUCUGCGAUUGGCUUCCUUUCCCUCAAUUCCGAUCGAGGAAAGGCGGAGAAUGGCGACUCCCGCCGCAGCUGCGAGAGACGAAGAGCCAUGGAGGAGGAAUAAGAAGAAGACGAAGACGAUGGGAGGAAAAGAGUCGGGAGGGAGGUGGCCGCAGAUCAAACGCAAGAGGGAUCUCCAAAUCAAUCGCUUCAAAGGCAACAGCCUCUUUACGGUAUAUGCCUAGGACCCCGAAUUCCUUCUUUUCUUUUCCAUCUCUUUUGAUCUCUCUGUAGUCUAGUGCUUCUAGGUUCAAAUAUUCGUCCUUUCUUUUCCUUUAGGGUUUUUUAACCCGUCAGGUUACAGAUCCUUUCGUAAUGUUUAUGAAAGGAUGAGGAAAGACUGACUACUUUUGACCAUGCAAUUACUUGUUCGAGCAUGAAUUCUUUGUUAGUAAUCUUUUUCUUUUCUUUUCUUUUUUGGGGGUUGGGGUGGGCGGCGGGGGCAAUGUGGGCGCUAAUAGAUCAUCUUAUGACGGAGCAUGAAGCGUUGAAGCGUUCUUCUUUUUAGCCCCUGCAAAUAGCAUUAGGUAACAAAACACGUAUUUGACAUAAAACAAAAGAAAGACUUAUGCAUUGAGAAAAUAAUCUCUUUAAAGAUGAUUAAAUUUUCUUAGAGUUCUUCUGCUGGGUGCUCAUAUUUCCUCUUAGUGUUUAGGUAUGCUGCCACAAUAUUAUGUGCUCCCAGAGUUACUUAGUUUGUUGGUUCAUCCUGUCUGUGUUUGGAUUCAUAAUUUGGAGUUUUCUCUUCCUCAAUGAAUUGGAUUCAUUUAGAGUACGAUUAGGUUCAUUUUUGUUUAUUAUGCUUUUAUUUUUGAUAAAAUGGUUUUGAAUCUAUCAAUAUAUACAAGGUGAAUAAUAUAGAAAUAUUUUAUGUAUGUUAAAAGGAGUUAAUUAAAUAAAUCUUCAUACGGGAUUCCUGUGUUGCUUAAAUACAGUAAAUAUCGUAGAAACCUUUCAAAUUUUACCAAUUCAUAAUUCACUUCGGAU
rnacentral:lncRNA from 1 species